UACGAAGGGGGCUAGCGUUGCUCGGAAUCACUGGGCGUAAAGGGUGCGUAGGCGGGUCUUUAAGUCAGGGGUGAAAUCCUGGAGCUCAACUCCAGAACUGCCUUUGAUACUGGGGAUCUCGAGUCCGGAAGAGGUAAGUGGAACUCCGAGUGUAGAGGUGAAAUUCGUAGAUAUUCGGAAGAACACCAGUGGCGAAGGCGGCUUACUGGUCCGGUACUGACGCUGAGGUGCGAAAGCGUGGGGAGCGAACAGG
rnacentral:rRNA from 1 species